GCCCUCGUAGCUCAGGGGAUAGAGCACCGGCCUCCGGAGCCGGGUGCGCAGGUUCGAAUCCUGUCGAGGGCGCAA
rnacentral:tRNA from 1 species